GCGGGGCUAACCUAGGUGGGGACCGCUCGGAGGGAAAAGGACCCCUGGGGAAUUGGAGCGCCUUAACCGGUUCCCCGGAGCCACGUCAGAUCCCAAUCCCUAAGGGCUGCAGGCCAGGGUGGGAACUUCUGUUCCCUUUCAGACUCAACUCUCAGAGAGAAGCGCGUCGGAAAACAGCUGAGCAAACUGGGAGAACUAGAAACAGGUUGGAGCUGAGUGAACUCAGGUUGUGACUGCAGGGUCAUGGGAUCAAGCCCUGUCAGGAUCUGCACUCAGUGGGGCAUCUACAUGAGGAUUCUCUCGCUCCCUCUAUCCCUCCCAUUUUGCAUGCUCUCUCCCUC